CAUGCAGUCGAGCGGCAGCGACACAUUGACCCUUCGGGGGAUUUGUUGGGCGGCGAGCGGCGGACGGGUGAGUAAUGCCUGGGAACAUGCCUUAGUGUGGGGGAUAACCAUUGGAAACGAUGGCUAAUACCGCAUAAUCUCUACGGAGCAAAGAGGGGGACCUUCGGGCCUCUCGCGCUAAGAUUGGCCCAGGUGGGAUUAGCUAGUAGGUGGGGUAACGGCUCACCUAGGCGACGAUCCCUAGCUGGUCUGAGAGGAUGAUCAGCCACACUGGAACUGAGACACGGUCCAGACUCCUACGGGAGGCAGCAGUGGGGAAUAUUGCACAAUGGGGGAAACCCUGAUGCAGCCAUGCCGCGUGUGUGAAGAAGGCCUUCGGGUUGUAAAGCACUUUCAGCAGUGAGGAAGGCGGUAUCGUUAAUAGCGGUAUUGUUUGACGUUAGCUGCAGAAGAAGCACCGGCUAACUCCGUGCCAGCAGCCGCGGUAAUACGGAGGGGUGCGAGCGGUUAAUCGGAAUUACUGGCGUAAAGCGCAUGCAGGGCGGCUUUGUUAAGCCAGAUGUGAAAGCCCGGGGCUCCAACCUUCGGAAUUCCGCAUUUGGGAACUGGCCAGCUAGAGUCUGUAGAGGGGGGUAGAAUUCAAGGUGUAGCGGUGAAAU
rnacentral:rRNA from 1 species